AGAAGAUCUCUCAAGCAAUGCAGACGUCUGAUGGACAGUGGACCGUUUCUGUCUUGUCCUUUAGAGAUUGUGGACUAACAUGAGCCGAGGAACCGACUGAAUGAUCACCAGGAGCCUCAGGAGGAGGACAGAAUUCCAGCCAGAGCACAGCUACUUCUGCUGUCAAUGCACCCACCUUCAUCCACACCAUCACCAUUGCUGCUGCUGAUGAUGUCCCUCCCAUGGAGUGGCAAUCUGAAGCGGAGGAACCGAUGGACUGUGAAUCUGCAGGGACAGUCAUCUCAGUGCUGACCAGCACUGUGAAUGUUACACACAACUGCAGAGUCUCCUGAAGAUCAGAGACAGUAAAGAGUAAGUAUCAUCAGUAAACAGUCACGCAAUAAUAAAUCAAGUUAAGCAAAGUGAUCGAUAAUAGAAGACACAUGCUAACAGAUGCUGUUGACACAACACAGUAACAUGAGAUAUUUAAACUGGCUGUUAAACCUCAUAUUGGCUCUUAAAGGACAAUUCCUGUGCAAAAAUGAACCUAGGGGUUAAUAACAGAUGUGUAGCCACUCUGUCAUUCUCUGGGACAUGUUUUCAUGCUAAUCUAAUGGGUUUGUAGCUUGAAGCUAGCGCGAACCGCUGAUUAGCUUACAACGCUAGUAUUCGGGGCACAGGGAAAGUAAAAACAAAUUGCUAUUUUGUA